rnacentral:rRNA from 1 species
AGUGAACGCUGGCGGUAGGCCUAACACAUGCAAGUCGAACGGCAGCACAGUAAGAGCUUGCUCUUACGGGUGGCGAGUGGCGGACGGGUGAGGAAUACAUCGGAAUCUACUUUUUCGUGGGGGAUAACGUAGGGAAACUUACGCUAAUACCGCAUACGACCUACGGUUGAAAGCAGGGGAUCUUCGGACCUUGCGCGAUUGAAUUAGCCGAUGUCGGAUUAGCUAGUUGGCGGGGUAAAGGCCCACCAAGGCGACGAUCCGUAGCUGGUCUGAGAGGAUGAUAGGCCACAUGGGAACUGAGACACGGUCCAGACGCCUAAGGGAGGCAGCAGUGGGGAAUAUUGGACAAUGGGCGGAAGCCUGAUCCAGCCAUACCGCGUGGGUGAAGAAGGCCUUCGGGUUGUAAAGCCCUUUUGUUGGGAAAGAAAAGCAGCAGGUUAAGACCCCGCUGUUCUGACGGUACCCAAAGAAUAAGCACCGGCUAACUUCGUG